GCGGAAGUGGUGAAAUGGCAGACACGCCAGCCUUAGGAGCUGGUGCCUGAAAGGGCGUGAGGGUUCGAGUCCCUCCUUCCGCA
rnacentral:tRNA from 1 species